rnacentral:lncRNA from 1 species
CAUAAGAGCUGGGAGGCCAGGUUUGAAUUCAGAAUUCCAGGGCUCUCUGGAGUUCCACUCCAGAAUGUGGCAGAGCUCGUUCAGAAUGUGGGGAGAGCUCAUCCAGGUCAAGGCCUGGCCCCUUGCCUGUGUCCCCACAACUUCCUCUGGCACUGCCAAGGCCUCUGCUGCGCACACGCAGACACCCGGCCCGAAGUCCCAGUUCCACCCACCCUUCCACGGAGAGCUGCCCCUGGCGGCCCACACACCUGCACACUUGAUUUGGGUCACCUUUGGAGGACGUACCCAGGAAGGAGCUCUGAGAGGAAGCCCCCUGCCAUUUGGGCAGGAAAUUCAGAGUCCCAGGUCAGGGCUCCCAGAGCAGGUGCCCCAAGACAGGAAGUGAAAGCUGCCAGACACUUAAAGCCCGGACCCGGGAACCAGGACAGCAGCCCUUCCACCAUUCCCUAUCAGUCAACUGGCUCUAGAUCCCAACCUCGUUCACAGAGAAGGGACAGAGAGUCCACAUCUCAAUGGGAAAAGGAGCAAAGAACUGUGGCCAUCUUUAAUCUAUCACAGAUGGAAAAUUUACAGAUACUUGCCUCACUUGAGUCAGUCCACUCAACCAAUUGAAGUUCCUAAUGAGUGUAAUGUGUGUCCUGAGGUAUUGAUGGGAAGAUCAAUGGACUUUCAGAGAACCUCAACCUUCCUUCAUGAAGCUCAAAGUCUAGUGAAGGGAAUAAGGAAGAUAUCCAGCGGUGUGCUGGUGAAGAAGCUGAGGCCCAAAGAGGUGAGGGACUUGGACAGCAGCAUGUGGUGGAGCGCGUGCUCCCUCCUACCCAACGCUUUGGCCUUGGAAUGUCCAGCCCACUGGAGAUAUGAAACUUGCACUCAUGAGAUAAUCGGCAGGAAAUAAAGAGAGCUCUUUCUGUGACCUUCUCCAACUCAACAACCCCAACGACACUGGGUCUGACGGAGCUCUUCGGGAACCCCAUCAGGACAACCCCUUUCACCUGUCGUUUAACAGUAGGACCUUCACUUAAGAAUAGAAACUGGGGAUAGCGGCUCCCCCCUGUGGGAUGAGAGACACUGUGAACUUUGAACCUGCCAGGUCUGGAGAUGAAGAGGGAUAGCCAGGAUCCUGUUUUGGACAAAAAGCAUCACCGAGUCUCACCCUGAGGAAACAGAUCCAAACUGAAGAACAUUUCCCAAAACAACGGGUCUGUGGUCCUCAGAAAUGCCAAGGUGAGACAGGACAAAGGGAGGAGAGCAGAGAGACACGCCAGCUGAACGCACUGUGUGAUCUGGGGUCAGGUCCCCAGUCUGGGGAGCGGGGUUUCUGUAAAGGACCUUGAAGGGACAAGUGGGGAAAUGUACAUGAAUCGUG